rnacentral:rRNA from 1 species
UACGUAGGGUGCAAGCGUUAAUCGGAAUUACUGGGCGUAAAGCGUGCGCAGGCGGUCCGUUAAGACAGAUGUGAAAUCCCCGGGCUUAACCUGGGAACUGCAUUUGUGACUGGCGGACUCGAGUAUGGCAGAGGGGGGUAGAAUUCCACGUGUAGCAGUGAAAUGCGUAGAGAUGUGGAGGAAUACCGAUGGCGAAGGCAGCGCCCUGGGCCAAUACUGACGCUCAUGCACGAAAGCGUGGGGAGCAAACAGG